UUGGUAAAUAACUGACAGGAGAUGGGCUGUUUCUAUGGCAGUAUUAACCCAAAUGAUGGGUGUUAAUCAUUAAACCUUUUAGGUGGUGGCUCGCUUGUUUCUCUGAUAUUCUAAUCCGGGUCACAGAAUGGCUAAGGCAGCUUUAAGUGGAGGGUGGAUUUUUUUUUUUCUCAGUUUGCCUUUUGUUUUCCAAUCUGAAAGAAUGUUGUGGCCGCUCUUUUUUCUGGUAACUGCUGUGCAUGCUCAACUCUGCCAACCAGAUGCACAAAAUGCUUUUAAAGUGAGACUUAGCAUCAGAACAGCUCUGGGAGAUAAAGCAUAUGUCUGGGAU